rnacentral:RNase_P_RNA from 2 species
GGAGCGGGUCGGGCGGCCGCUGUUGUGCAAACAAUAGAGGAAAGUCCGGAUACCACAGGGCAGAAUGCUUCCUAACGGGAAGUCGGCGCGAGCCGGGGAUAAGUGCCACAGAAAAUAAACCGCCUGUGAUUGUGAAAACAAAGACAGGUAAGGGUGAAACGGCGAGGUAAGAGCUCACCGCGUUUCCGGUGACGGAAACGGCAGGGUAAACCCCAUUCGGUACAAGACCAAGUAAAGGGAAAUGAGGCGGCCCGCCUCGUUUGAUUCCAGGGUAGGUUGCUUGAGGCCGGCUGUGAAGCCUGUCCCAGAGUAAUGGCCGUACAAAGACAGAAUCCGGCUUACAGACCCGCUCCAUUU